UACGAAGGUGGCAAGCGUUGUUCGGAUUUACUGGGCGUAAAGGGAGCGUAGGUGGUUAGGUAAGCCCUCCGGGAAAUCUUCAGGCUUAACCUGAAAAGGUCGGGGGGGACUGCCUAGCUAGAGGGCGGGAGAGGAGCGCGGAAUUCCCGGUGUAGCGGUGAAAUGCGUAGAGAUCGGGAGGAAGGCCGGUGGCGAAGGCGGCGCUCUGGAACGUUUCUGACACUGAGGCGCGAAAGCGUGGGGAGCAAACAGG
rnacentral:rRNA from 1 species